AAGGCCUUAGUUUAACAAAAACAUCUGAUUUGCAUUUAGACGAUGCAAGAUAAAGUCUUGUAGGUCUU
rnacentral:tRNA from 1 species